rnacentral:rRNA from 1 species
CGGCGGACGGGUGAGUAACGCGUGGGUAACCUACCCUGUACACACGGAUAACAUACCGAAAGGUAUGCUAGUACGGGAUAAUAUAUUUGAGAGGCAUCUCUUGAAUAUCAAAGGUGAGCCAGUACAGGAUGGACCCGCGUCUGAUUAGCUAGUUGGUAAGGUAACGGCUUACCAAGGCGACGAUCAGUAGCCGACCUGAGAGGGUGAUCGGCCACAUUGGAACUGAGACACGGUCCAA